rnacentral:rRNA from 1 species
UAGUCCACGCCGUAAACGAUGUCUACUAGCCGUUGGGGGACUUGAUCCUUUAGUGGCGCAGCUAACGCCUUAAGUAGACCGCCUGGGGAGUACGGCCGCAAGGCUAAAACUCAAAGAAAUUGACGGGGGCCCGCACAAGCGGUGGAGCAUGUGGUUUAAUUCGAUGCAACGCGAAGAACCUUACCUGGGCUUGACAUUCUUGUCGUAGUUUUGUGAAAGCAAAACGUCAGUUCGGCUGGACUUGAACAGGUGCUGCAUGGCUGUCGUCAGCUCGUGUCGUGAGAUGUUGGGUUAAGUCCCGCAACGAGCGCAACCCUUGUCUUUAGUUGCCAUCAUUUAGUUGGGCACUCUAGAGAAACUGCCGGUGACAAACCGGAGGAAGGUAAGGAUGACGUCAAGUCAGCAUGCCCCUUACGCUCUGGGCUACACACGUGCUACAAUGGUCGUGACAAAGAGUUGCUAGUCUGCGAAGGCAAGCCAAUCUCAUAAACGCGGCCUUAGUUCGGAUUGC